rnacentral:rRNA from 1 species
GUUCCUACGGGGGGCAGCAGUGGGGAAUAUUGGGCAAUGGGCGCAAGCCUGACCCAGCAACGCCGCGUGAAGGAAGAAGGCUUUCGGGUUGUAAACUUCUUUUGUCAGGGAAGAGUAGAAGACUGUACCUGGCGAAUAAGCCACGGCUAACUACGUGCCAGCAGCCGCGGUAAUACGUAGGUGGCAAGCGUUGUCCGGAUUUACUGGGUGUAAAGGGCGUGUAGCCGGGAAGGCAAGUCAGAUGUGAAAUCUGGAGGCUCAACCUCCAAACUGCAUUUGAAACUGUUUUUCUUGAGUAUCGGAGAGGCAAUCGGAAUUCCUAGUGUAGCGGUGAAAUGCGUAGAUAUUAGGAGGAACACCAGUGGCGAAGGCGGAUUGCUGGACGACAACUGACGGUGAGGCGCGAAAGCGUGGGGAGCAAACAGGAUUAGAUACCCCGGUAGUCAAU